rnacentral:rRNA from 1 species
GAGAGCGGCGGACGGGUGAGUAACGCGUGGGAACGUGCCCUUAGGUGGGGGACAACAGUUGGAAACGACUGCUAAUACCGCAUAAGCCAAUUUGGGAAAGCCUUCGGGCGCCUUGGGAUCGGCCCGCGUUAGAUUAGGUAGUUGGUGGGGUAAAGGCCUACCAAGCCUACGAUCUAUAGCUGGUUUGAGAGAAUGAUCAGCCACACUGGGACUGAGACACGGCCCAGACUCCUACGGGAGGCAGCAGUGGGGAAUAUUGCGCAAUGGGGGAAACCCUGACGCAGCCAUGCCGCGUGGGUGAAGAAGGCCUUCGGGUUGUAAAGCCCUUUCAACGGUGAAGAUGAUGACUGUAGCCGUAGAAGAAGCCCCGGCUAACUUCGUGCCAGCAGCCGCGGUAAUACGAAGGGGGCUAGCGUUGUUCGGAAUUACUGGGCGUAAAGGGCGCGUAGGCGGACUGACCAGUCAGGGGUGAAAUCCCGAGGCUCAACCUCGGAACUGCCUUUGAUACUGUCAGUCUAGAGUCUGUGAGAGGAUGACGGAAUACCCAGUGUAGAGGUGAAAUUCGUAGAUAUUGGGUAGAACACCGGUGGCGAAGGCGGUCAUCUGGCGCAGCACUGACGCUGAGGCGCGAAAGCGUGGGGAGCAAACAGGAUUAGAUA